AGUGAACGCUGGCGGUAUGCCUAACACAUGCAAGUCGAACGGCAGCACAGUAAGAGCUGGCUCUUACGGGUGUCGAGUGGCGGACGGGUGAGGAAUACAUCGGAAUCUACUUUGUCGGGGGGGAUAACGUAGGGAAACGUACGCGAAUACCGCAUACGACCUACGGGUGAAAGCAGGGGAUCUUCGGACCUGGCGCGAUGGAAUGAGCCGAUGUCGGAUUAGCUAGUUGGCGGGGUAAAGGCGCAACAAGGCGACGAUCCGUAGAUGGUCUGAGAGGGUGAACCGACACAUUGGCACUGAGGAACGUCCCACACACCUACAGGGGGACGCAGCGCAGACUAUUGCACGAUGCGGGAGAGCGUAAUACAGGACUACCGCGUGAGUGCAGAACGACUUCGGGUUGUAAAGCCCUUUUGUUGGGAAAGAAAAACAGCAGGUUUAUCCCCCGUUGUUCUGACGGUACCCAAAGAAUAAGCACCGGCUAACUUCGUG
rnacentral:rRNA from 1 species